AACCCAAGAGAGAUCAAAGGCAAACACUCAACUAUUAGUGUUCUGUCAGAUUCUUUCUUGAGGACAUUGUCCCGUCGAGUUGGCUUAUGAGACAUUUGAUCCGAGACUGAAACUGAUCCUUUACCCACGGCUUAUUAUAUAGACAAAUAUACUUGGGAUUGGUCUCAGUUUUCUGGUCAAAUAUCAAGUUACGCACCCACGACUUAAUACUUUAUUCUUUAGACUGAAACUUGAGACUGAACAUUGAUCCUUUUUGGUACCCGCGGCUUUAAAAUAAGAGAGACAUAUUGAUCAUGUUUGGUUUCUUGUUUCGGUCUUUAGACAACAAUUACCCACAGCUUUAAAAAUGACAAGUCUUUAG